AAAAAUAAAGCGAUAUUAAAAUUGCAAUCAGUUUCGACCUGAGUCUAGAUGAAUUCUAUUUUUUU
rnacentral:tRNA from 1 species